GAAGUAUUAUGACAUUCAAUUUGUGUUCAAUCAAAAUGGAGUUUCCAGGCAUUGGUUUUAACGAUGAUUAUAACUACUGUAAUGAAACUUUCAUUUGCAACGAAUUCUAUCAAUCUUGUGUCGACAAUCAAUGCCAAGUCUCAAUUUCGAGUUUGAUGACAACGAGUUUCAUCAUUUUUUUUACAAUGUUAUCGGCGAUAUUUAUUUGGUUGCUGUUGAUUAGACGAUUGAUUGGCAUUUGGCUUGGUGUGGACAUGAGUAACAGAAAUUGCUGCUUAAUUGAGACAUCGGAAAAAUCAGAAACAACUUAAAUUACUGGUUUACAAAUACAAAUGAAUAAAACAUUUUUGGCUUGCA